rnacentral:rRNA from 1 species
GGAAUUGUUCGCAAUGGGCGCAAGCCUGACGACGCAACGCCGCGUGGAGGAUGCAGAUCUUCGGGUCGUAAACUCCUUUCGAUCGAGACGAAUGGCCUUCGGGUUAACAGCCUGGAGGAAUGACGGUACCGAGAGCAGAAGCCCCGGCUAACUCCGUGCCAGCAGCCGCGGUAAUACGGGGGGGGCAAGCGUUGUUCGGAAUUACUGGGCGUAAAGGGCUCGUAGGCGGCCAACUAAGUCAGACGUGAAAUCCCUCGGCUUAACCGGGGAACUGCGUCUGAUACUGGAUGGCUUGAAUCCGGGAGAGGGAUGCGGAAUUCCAGGUGUAGCGGUGAAAUGCGUAGAUAUCUGGAGGAACACCGGUGGCGAAGGCGGCAUCCUGGACCGGCAUUGACGCUGAGGAGCGAAAGCCAGGGGAGCAAAC